UACGUAGGGUGCAAGCGUUGUCCGGAAUUAUUGGGCGUAAAGAGCUCGUAGGCGGUGUGUCGCGUCUGCUGUGAAAACUCAGGGCUCAACUCUGAGCUUGCAGUGGGUACGGGCACACUUGAGUACUGCAGGGGAGACUGGAAUUCCUGGUGUAGCGGUGGAAUGCGCAGAUAUCAGGAGGAACACCGGUGGCGAAGGCGGCGAUCUGGGUCGAUACUGACGUGAGGUGCGAAAGCGUGGGGAGCAAACAGG
rnacentral:rRNA from 1 species